UUACCGUCCUUGUGAAGGGUGUCAGUGAUUGUCUUCUGGACAUCUGUCAAGUCAGCAAUCUUCCCAAUGAUUUUGUUGGCCAUAAUAUAGGCAUUACAUGUAGAGGUUUUUUAAAUUUUGUUAUGUAAUAUUGUAAUUUUCUAUGACACCAUAUUUUGGAUUUUCAUUUCUGUAAGCCAUAAUCAACAAAACUACAAGAAAUGAAGGCUUUACAUAUUUAUCUCUAUGCUUAAUGAAGCUAUAUAAUAUGUUUCAUUUUCUGAUGAGUGACAACAAAUACUGAACCUUCUCAAGAUAUAAAAUGUUUUUGAGAUGUACCUGUGUUGAUGCACAGUAAUAAUCGUAAGACAAGUUCCAAAUGUGAUUCAUGAUGCUAUGUAUAUAUUGACGAAUCACAGCAUACAAACAUACAGGCAUUGCUACAUCUCGUAGCUGUAAGCAGUAAUUAUAGUCUUUUCCUUUUGUUAGUUUUCUAUUCUCAACUACAGAAUUUACAACAUGGAUGAAAGAAAGAUGGUAAAAGACACACAUUUCUACCAGUUUAUGCUUUUCAGCAUAAGGUUUCCCUUCUUUUAAUGUGGUUUUAGAUUUUCACAUAGCUUUAUAAUAUUGGAAGAUGAAAACGACUUAGCAGCCACUGAUAUCAGCAUAAAAAUCUCUGUGAUGUAAUAACAUCCAUCUGAGACAUUUUUGCCCUGCUGACUAAAACUUUCAUUUUAGUCAUUAUCCUCACUCCUGUAAAUUAAGUAGGCAAGAGCAAAAUCUUACAUAUUUCUGCUUAAUUUUCCGAUAAUAUUUAGAGUAAAGCAAAGUGAUAACUUUACAAAGCCUAUGGUUUGUUCACAUGGUCAGAAUCUCAAAUAUUCAAAGUACAUCAAUGGAGAAUCACAUAUAAACCACAAGUAAACAUCUCACCUGAAAAUUAUUUUGCAUUUUUAUGGACCAAAAAUUUGCAGACACAGCUUGAUUUUCUCUGCUGCAUCAAAUGUCCACAAUAACAUAAACUAGCAUAGAUUAUCGGAGACCUGGCAUGGUAUUUGAGCAUAUUCUCCAUCUGUUUUUUCAUCUUGGACUUAAGAAAGUGUAGUUUAGGCACUGCAAUCUCAAAUGCCGUCAAAUUCUAGCCUAAUUUAAGCCACAGCAUAGCAGGGAGGCCCGUCAAUCCGGCAACUCUCCUGGCUUACUGGGUAGCAGUCCAAGCACAUUUUUCACGAUGACGUUUGAAUUAUUCGCUUUGUUUUAAAAUUUUAUUUGAUGAAAGUCUUAUUUAAUAAAUAGCCAGCAGAUAAUAAGGCUGUCACGCUGGCCAAAUAUGGAAAGAUUAUAUUCCAUAAUUAGAGUAAUUGUCUAAUAAAGCGAGCAUAUUGAGAAGUUCACUGUCUAAAGCUGUAACUGACUGAACACAUGGCAUGCUUCUCUAUGCUUAUCUCCAUAAAUGUCUCCAAGACUAAUUAAAUCUCCUGGCAAGUUAGUACAAUUUAACAUGACAAUCUGGCUAUUUAAAAUGUUGAAUUGAUGGAAGGUCUGGUUGGCAGGUUGAAUGAAUAACUGGACAGAGGCGGUUUUGCUGUUUGGUGUUUACUGGCUGGCCAACUGGACUGGGUAACAGGUUCUAUCUUUUUUGCUCCAGUCUGUGUUUUUUUUUACCACUUAUCAGCCCCAACCAUUUGCUUCCACAAAGCUCGGUUCUGUUUUAAACCCUACCAUUUUUCCUCCAAAGAUUUGUUUUUAACCUAUCCUCUCCUUUGUUUUUUUCUUAUUUUCUCAAUGUUUAUUUAUAUGUUUCUCUGCUCAUUUCAAGCCUCAACCUGAAUCCUGAUGGCACUAUGAGAAUCUCCCAAGGAUUAUAUUUUCCUAUUUGUAACCUCACAUAAAGGCACUGAAAGUAGUCACACAGUAAAAUAUCCCAGCCCUAGUGCACUUAUAAACCAAAACAAAAGCACUACAUCAAAGGUCAUAGAAUUAUUGAAAAUAAUUGGUCCUGACUCCUACUGAUAUGUGUUUUGCUUCCGUUCAUCUCAAUAUGUUUACUGUUAGUUGUCAUAUCCACAGUGGCUGUGUGCAGGUUUUGUGUUUGUGCUGUGUUUUCUCUCUCCUGCAGGGUGUGACUAACAGGUGCAGCUGCAACAGGUGUUUCUCAUUUGAGCCCAAUCACCAGGGAUUCAGGCAUAAGGAGCUGGAACCUGGAGGGAGGCAUCAGCUUGUUGUCUCUGCUACCGUGGUAACCUGACCGUGUUCUGCAGUUCUCUGCAUUUCUCUUACCUACUUCGCAGAUCCAAUCACCCUGCGACACAACCCUGGAUUACCAAGCUCCUGUUCUCCAUGUCAUGCUCUGGCGAGUGUUGGAAACAACUCCCUGCCCCUCCAGCAGUGAGUCUCCCUUCUACUCCUACCUCUAGUCCUGCAGCUCUGAGAUCACCUCGUGAAAACACCUAACAAUUGCUCACCGGCCUGUCCACCCUAAACCACGUGCUCAGCUGAAGCACAGCCGCUCAAGGAUCGCACAGAGAGAACGUCAGCACUGUGAAUCUCUGUGCCACUUCUUCUGUCAAACUUAUCCUCUGUGGGGGGGAAGAUUUACCUACUCCAACAAGCCAUCAUCCACCACCAACAGUAAGCUGACCUCAACCCUUCUCUGCACACCUCUCCAUAGCUUCACCCGAACAACAAUAACCUCUCUCCUCUCCUCCUCAGUGCAAGUCCAGAUUCCUCUGGCAUAUCCAGUCAGGGCUCAGUCUCACUUUACUUGUAUCACAAAUUAACUGUAAAACGUGCUGUUCAGCUUCCGUGAUUUCAGAGGGUUCCUCCUGCAAUGCACACUAGUAUUCCGAUGCUCUCCCCACUCUUUUACGGAUGAUGCAAGUAAGAUCUCAUACAUCAUUGGUCUACUGAGACCAGGCAUUGAGAUGGGCUGAAGCAAUCAUAGAUGAAUCAAUGUAGUUUUAUUUAUUUCAAGAAUUUCUCGAAUAAUAACAUCCCAGUUAAAGAACUCAAUCCUCCUAUUAUAGUCACUGCUCUGGAUGGACGUGCUUUUAGUUGUGCCCCCCGGAAACCCAACCCAUUGAACUGGUCACUUUAGGUAACCACCACAAGUAAUUUUUUUUUUUUCAUUUUUUCCACAAAAGAAUCCCCAUUGGUGUUAGGACACCCCUGACUUAAAAUCCAUAAUCCACACAUAAAUUGGACAGACACCUGCAUUGAAGCCUGGAGCUCAUGCUGUCAUGCAUCUUGCCUACGCUCUGCUGUUCCAUCCUCAUCUCCUCUUGCUGAACCACAGUCAGUCCCUGAUCUCUCCCACGUUCCCUCUGAGUAUCAUAAUCUCCAAAGAGACUGGCCUUGUCUCUACCCCCUCAUCGUCCUUACGACUGUGCCAUUGAUCUUCUUCAGGGCGCUCCAUUACCAUCUGGGCAUCUUUUUGGCAUGAAUGAAUGAAGGGUGGCAUCAUCCGAACUUCCUCGUCACCAGUAGGUGCUGGUUUUUUCUUUGUCGUGAAGAAGGAUGGAACUCUGAGACCCUGCAUUAAUUACCAUAACCUGAAUGAAAUAACUGUCAAGAAUAAAUACUCACUUCCUCUUCUCUCUUCAGCCUUCGAGUCAGUUCAAGGAGCUACCAUAUUCAUUAAACGGGACCUACAGAUUCAUUUACCUUCUUGUUCGUAUCAGAGAGGGCGAGUGGAAGACUGCUUUCAAGACACCCAUCGGACUUUGAAUAUAAAGUUAUGCCUUUUGGUCUAACCAACGGCACUGCUGUUUUCCAGGCUCUAGUGAAUGGCGUCCGUAGAGACUUCAUUAAUGUGUUCAUGUUUAUCUACCUUCACGACAUCCUGAUCUUCUCCAAGGACCCCAGUGAACACACCAAACAUGUCCGGAUUCCUUUUUGAGGGUGGACAGGUGAAGCCCAACCCCAGUAAGAUCUCAGCAGUACAGGACUGGCCGACUCCUAUAAACCGAAAAAUAGCUUCAACAAUUCCUUGGGUUUGCUCAUUUCUACCAUUGCUUAAUCCGUGAGUACAGCUUCAUUGCAUCUCCACUUACUGCACUCACCUCCAUCAAGAAACCUUUCACCUGGUCCCUAGAAGCCAAGGAAGCCUUCAACACUGUUAAGCAGAGGUUUUCCACAGCGACUGUAAGCUCCACCCCUGUUCUUUCUUUUCAAAACGUUUUUCCCCUGCAGAACAAAAUUAUGACAUCAGGGAUUGGAAACUCCUCGCCAUCAGGAUGGCCCUGGGUGAAUAUAGGCACUGGCUGGAGGGAACUUCUCAACCCAUAACCACCUGGAACAAACCACAAAAACCUGACUUACAUCCAAAGAGCAUCUCAAUCCCCGUUAAUCACAGUGGUCAUUACUCUUCUCCCGGUUCAACUUCACCAUCACUUACCGGCCUGGCUCUAAAAAUGCAAAACCUGAUGCUCUCUUAGUUUUCUGUUUCAGAAGACGAUCAAAAAACUGAACCUAUCAUACCCCCAUCCUGUGUCAUCUGCGCUUUGUCCUGGGGUCUGGAGGACUGAAUCCACUGAAUGCAACAAGAUGAAGCAGAUCCAGCAUGAGGUCCACCUAGUCUCCUUUAUGUGCCAUUAAACGUCAGGUCUCAGGUAAUCCAGUGGACACAUUCAUCCUGGUUUUCUGACCAUCCCGGUUCCAGUCACACCAUUGCACUCCUCUGUAGAUAUUUCUGGUGGUCUUCCCUAAAUAACGACGUCACUGAGUUUGUUUUUCCUGUUCCAGAUAGUCCAGAAACAAAUGUUCGUACAGACCUCCUGCUGGCUUGCUCCGACCCCUGUUCAUUUAACAAGUGUGGUGAGACGUCUCCUGAGCCCUUGAUGAAAAAUCUCAGCUUCCUUAUGGCUUCAACCCCCAAAACACAGACCAAUGUGAAAGACUAAACCAGAACCUCAAGAAGCAACAUCUCACAUGGGUAAAAUAUGCCCAUAAUAGCAAAACGUCAGGAGCAUCUGGUCUAUCACCAUUCGAAGCCUCACUAGGCUACCAACCAUCACUCCUCCCUGCCUCCUUCCCUGACUCCAUUCUUUUGUCAGUAAGAACCCAUCUUCUCAACAGCCAAAGAAUCUGAAAUCAAACCAAAAUCACACUGCAAUGAACCUUCCAUUGUUGUUCCCCCUCACCCAAACAAUAAUCUCUCCCUCCUCUCCUACUCAGUGCCAGUCUAGAUCCCUCUGGCAGAUCCAGUCUGGGCUCAGUCUCAUUUUGCUUGUAUUACAAAUAAACUAUUAAACCUGC